rnacentral:lncRNA from 12 species
CUUAAGAACAAUGACUAAAACUAGGAACACAGUCCACGAAAGAGUUGAGCUAAUUCCCAUAAUGCCACCUCUGCUCACUCACUCUUCUAUUAAAGCUGCAGAGGCAGUCCUCGUUAAUGCCUUUUUGUCCUAUGAACUGGUCCCAUUGUGGUUCAGAAUGAGAAAGUAGAAGGGUAAAAACAAUUUUUUGGACUAGUUGAGCAAGUGAUUCCUUGGGGAUUCACCCCUGACCUUUUCAAGGGCCAGAUUUCCAUAAAUAAAUUGGGGCUUUGUUUUCUUCCACGAAGAUUGCUAAUUCAAACUUAAAAGACAUUUGAAUGCCAGAAUCGCUUUACUGUUCUUUUGCUGUAAUGAUUUAGAUUGAAUGUCAUUGUGCACUCAAGCUUGCCAGACUUUGAAGUGAGUCCUGCAUUGGUGCAAUGGCUGACCAGUUUGUAGAACACCUUUGAUCAUGAACCCAGAGAGGAAGCAAAAGGUAUUUCUAGCUAAGUUCGCCCAGAACGUUUCUGCCGACAACACACAAGUCAAAAUCUACCCCCUCGGUGGAAGUGGGUCUCCCUCCUCGUCUACGCUUAUCUCCUCUGAGCACUCCCUGUUUACAGUUCCGUCUGGAUUGAUGUUACACAUUAGAGUUUGUUAUCUGUUAGUGCAUUUCAAUAAUUCCAUAACACCAAUUUUGACUUCCCAGCUAGACUAUGAGCUAUUCAAAGGCAGCAGUCAGUAUCUCACAGUUCUCUUUUACCUUUCACAGUAUUUAUCUUGGCACUAGGCACAUAAAUAAUGUUUUAGAAAUAACUGUUGGUUGAUUGAGAAUCUUCCCUGAAUAAUGUAAAAGACUUUACCAAUGAGAACUUGAAUUACUUAUUCUCUCUGAAAAAACAUUUUGCAGAUUAAAGAGGAUGAAAAUACUCAUACUCUAAGCACUGAGAGCUUGCCUUCUCUCUAAUUAUUAUAAAUCAUAGCCUGAACAUUUAAACUCUUCAAGUUUUCAGUUUUUUUCCUAACUUCCUCCAGCAGGAAAUCCAAUCAAGCGUUUGCUUACUGCUGUUUCUGUACUCGCCUCCAAGCACCCAUUGUAACGUAUAUGCUAAUUGUGAUUAUUUUUAAUGAUUUCUUCAAGUUGUUUUUAAUACGGAGUUGCUUUAGUACAACUCAUUUUUAAUACAGAGCUCUAGGUAAGCAUGACAUAUCCCAUUAUUUAUAAUUGCAUCAGCUUCCAAAAACCAUUAAACCCAUUCCUGAUAGGUAUUUAGACAGCAUUGACCUCUUGCAAUCUACAGAGAAUGGUCCUCUCUUCUAACCUUGUGCUGAAUCCAGCUCCCCUCUUCUCUGACAACUGGAAAACACAAAACUCUUAGUGAUGUAUUUAUCUCUUGCCUCCCACUGGAAUGUGAACUCCAUGAUCCCCUUUCUCUGUGGUGCUGUCAAUCUUGGUAUUAGGCAGUGGAAGGAUCCCUCACCCUCUUCCCAGCCAGAUAUCUUUAUGUGAAGCCUGACCACAGGGUGAAUUUAUUUAUUUAUUUUUUUUAUCUGCUGUGAUAUCUUCUUUACUUACUUGAUAUCUUCUUUAAUUCUGAUGUUGUCUGGGCCACUUUAAUUUCUUCCUCAAACUAAUAAAUUUCUAAUUGCCCAAGCUUUAGCUCUAAAU